rnacentral:rRNA from 1 species
CCUACGGGAGGCAGCAGUGAGGAAUAUUGGUCAAUGGGCGUAAGCCUGAACCAGCCAAGUCGCGUGAGGGAUGAAGGUUCUAUGGAUCGUAAACCUCUUUUAUAAGGGAGUAAAGUGUGGGACGUGUCCUAUUUUGUAUGUACCUUAUGAAUAAGGAUCGGCUAACUCCGUGCCAGCAGCCGCGGUAAUACGGAGGAUCCGAGCGUUAUCCGGAUUUAUUGGGUGUAAAGGGUGCGUAGGCGGCCUUUUAAGUCAGCGGUGAAAGUCUGUGGCUCAACCAUAGAAUUGCCGUUGAAACUGGGGGGCUUGAGUAUGGUUGAGGCAGGCGGAAUGCGUGGUGUAGCGGUGAAAUGCUUAGAUAUCACGAAGAACACCGAUUGCGAAGGCAGCCUGCCGAGCCAUGACUGACGCUGAUGCACGAAAGCGUGGGGAUCAAACAGGAUUAGAUACCCCUGUAGUC